CUCGCUGGCAUUCAAUAAAAAAUUGGAAUUUAUUGUCAACUCCAUUUGAACAGCUGAAGCAGGAAGUGCAAGAUAAGAAAAAAAUGAGGCUUGAGGAACAAUUAAUAAUUAACAAUUCUGCUAGAGAUGAUAACAACCAUCUUCAUUCAAAAGUUGACUUGUGGGUAGAAAAGUACAGUCCUAAAAGAUACACUGAUUUGUUAAGUG
rnacentral:lncRNA from 1 species